rnacentral:rRNA from 1 species
UACAGAACGCCCGGGCUUCGGCCUGGUUAUUCAUAACCCUUUGUUGUCCGACUCUGUUGCCUCCGGGGCGACCCUGCCUUCGGGCGGGGGCUCCGGGUGGACACUUCAAACUCUUGCGUAACUUUGCAGUCUGAGUAAACUUAAUUAAUAAAUUAAAACUUUUAACAACGGAUCUCUUGGUUCUGGCAUCGAUGAAGAACGCAGCGAAAUGCGAUAAGUAAUGUGAAUUGCAGAAUUCAGUGAAUCAUCGAAUCUUUGAACGCACAUUGCGCCCCCUGGUAUUCCGGGGGGCAUGCCUGUUCGAGCGUCAUUUCACCACUCAAGCCUCGCUUGGUAUUGGGCAACGCGGUCCGCCGCGUGCCUCAAAUCGUCCGGCUGGGUCUUCUGUCCCCUAAGCGUUGUGGAAACUAUUCGCUAAAGGGUGUUCGGGAGGCUACGCCGUAAAACAACCCCAUUUCUAAGGUUGACCUCGGAUCAGGUAGGGAUACCCGCUGAACUUAAGCAUAUCAAUA